GAGGUGGCCUGAUGCGUCAGUGCAUCUGGCUGUUAACCAGAAGGUUGGUGGUUUGAGCCCACUGAGAGACA